ensembl:lncRNA
AUGGAUCCAGAGAAGUUUGGAGAGACUUUAGCCUACCUAAAGAAAAUAAAGGAAGAUAUCAUUACAGACAAAGGAGAUUGGCAACAGAUGAUAGAAAGACGUCGGAAAUUGAACAAUACCUUGGGUUCAUUAAGAAUGAAAUUGGACUCAUUAAGAAAUCGAAUGGAUAAGCUAGAUAAAAAAAUAGAAGACAGUAAAAAUAUAUUCAAAGAACCUAAAAGUUCGAAAGUCUACCAGCAGGCCAAAAAUGAAUCUGAAGAAUAUUGGAGAAGAAUCUUAAAAGAGGAUAAAGGGAAAAAAUCAUUGGCAUUAGAGGAUGAAACAAUGUAUGAAAAUGUGGCAGAACAAAGAAUACCAGACAAUGAAAGUGGAGUCAAAGAACAUGACCAGAACUUGACUGACUCAGCCCAUCAGAAGACCAAAAGUGGGUCUGGAGAAGAUCAGAGAGAUCUCAAACUCCUUCAAGUGAAUAAAGGAAGACUUCAAUAUGGAGAAAAAUCCUCAGCACCAGAAGAUGAAACAAUGUAUGAAAAUGUGGCAGAACAAAGGAUACCAGACAAUGAAAGUGGAGUCAAAGAACAUGACCAGAGCUUGACUGACUCAGUCCAGCAGAAGACCAAAAGUGGGCCUGGAGAAGAUCAGAGAGAUCUCAAACUCCUUCAAGCGAAUAAAGGAAGAUUUAAAUACAGCAGAAAGUCCUCAAGAUCAGAAGAUGAAACAAUGUAUGAAAAUGUGGCAAAGCAAAGACUACCAGACAAUGAAAGGGGAGUCAAAGACUAUGACCAGAGCUUGACUGACUCAGUCCAGCAGACCAAAAGUGGGCCUGGAGAAGAUCAGAGAGAUCUCAAACUCCUUCAAGCGAAUAAAGGAAGAUUUAAAUACAGCAGAAAGUCCUCAAGAUCAGAAGAUGAAACAAUGUAUGAAAAUGUGGCAAAGCAAAGACUACCAGACAAUGAAAGGGGAGUCAAAGACUAUGACCAGAGCUUGACUGACUCAGUCCAGCAGAAGACCAAAAGUGGGCCUGGAGAAGAUCAGAGAGAUCUCAAACUCCUUCAAGCGAAUAAAGGAAGAUUUAAAUACAGCAGAAAGUCCUCAAGAUCAGAAGAUGAAACAAUGUAUGAAAAUGUGGCAAAGCAAAGACUACCAGACAAUGAAAGGGGAGUCAAAGACUAUGACCAGAGCUUGACUGACUCAGUCCAGCAGAAGACCAAAAGUGGGCCUGGAGAAGAUCAGAGAGAUCUCAACCUCCUUCAAGGGAAUAAAGGAAGAUUUAAAUACAGAAAAAAGUCCUCAAGAUCAGAAGAUGAAACAAUGUAUGAAAAUGUGGCAAAGCAAAGACUACCAGACAAUGAAAGGGAAGUCAAAGAACAUGACCAGAGCUUGACUGACUCGGUCCAGCAGAAGACCAAAAGUGGGCCUGGAGAAGAUCAGAGAGAUCUCAAACUCCUUCAAGGGAAUAAAGGAAGAUUUAAAUAUGGAGAAAAAUCCUCAGCAUCAGAAGAGGAAACAAUGUAUGAAAAUGUGGCAGAACAAAGAAUAUCAGACAAUGAAAGUGGAGUCAAAGAACAUGACCAGAAUUUGAUUGAUUUGAAAAAAAGAAAACCUAGCAAUAAGAAUUUAGGACAAACUUUUGUUCUAAAUGGCAGAAGACUGAAUUUAAGAUAA